GUGUGAGGUUGUGUGAGUAAUAAACCAGAAAAUUCCCAACUCCUAGUGUCAUCCUCUCUCGAUGAGAGUAACGUUCAGAUUCUUACACGGACAGGAAUACUGUGUCAAGAACAAAGAUCGAGUUGAAGUUGUCGCAAUGCUUGGACUCUUUGGAUCGCUAGUCAGUGUAGUUCAGAUGUAUACUCUUCAUAAUUCAUUCCUGGCUACAGACUGGUAAAUCAAACUGGUAUAUGAUCCAUUGCUAUGCUAUCUAUGAAUUUGCUCGCUUUGACACAGUUAAAAUAUAACCAAAAUGUUGUGAAACAAACCUACUAAUUUUUAAAAUAUAUUUAUGUUACCUUUAACCUGAUAAACCUUAGAUUUCUAUUUGAAAGGAAGAGCCUAGAAGCCAUUACUUGGUCAUCAACGAGGUAAGAAAGUACUCCUUAUAAUGGCAGCUCUUCUAUCUGCUAUAUACCUUCUUUUUUGUUUUGACAGGAGUUCCGUCAUACACCUUAUUAACUAACUGGAAACUCACUCCCAACUUUUCUUUUCUUUUGUUUUAUUUCCAGAUAAGUCUAUUUGCAGGGGCAAAUUUUACUUUCUGCUCCGUUACACCUUUUGUUAUUAAAGUUAAGUAUCUCAAACAUGUUAGGGAUGUUUUUUUUAAAAAAAUUGAGAGAACGAUGUUUUAAAUUAUGUCCUGUCAAGUGAUUGAAUUAUUUGAACAAAUAAAUAAUAAAGAAAAGAUGUUUCAAUAGUAUUGGCUACAAUAGAGUAUCAGCUAAAAGGACUCUCUUUUUGUUGUUUCACAGAAGUACAGUACAACAAUAACCAACAUUGUUCAACCUUUCCCUCUUAACAUCUGACAUGUGGGCAGUUGCUAUUCAAAUUUUAUUCUACCAUCAGCAAAUGAAAAUGUCUGAACCCAGAUACUUGUGCCAGAUUAUGACAUAUUACCCAAUAAGCUUAUGUACCUUAGGUGCAACCUACAGAUAAAUUGGCUGUACUACAUAGCAUUCACAGAUGUGAACAUUGGAUUGAUCAUCUACUCAAUGAAGUAAGUUUGUUCAAACCUUCCUAGAUCAUUUUGUAAAUCAUCUACUCAGGCUUGCAGAAACCUAACAGAAUUACUUGGAUGUAAUCUAUGAAAUGAGAGUUCUUCAUAUGUCAAACAAGCGAGUAUAGAAGCAGCAGCACAGGAUUAGCAACUUCAAGAUGAGGAUAAUUUAACAGAAAGUGGUUCUAAUUCAGGAAGACAAGAAAGGACACAUAAUGAUGAAAUUGAUAUCUGUUAAGGGAUCAAUGACAUCUCCUUGAUAACAGAUAUUUUCAUCCCAAAUCAAUAUGGCAACAUAAAUCAGCAGAGUAUAAUGCUGCUCGGUUCAUGUAUAGGCAAAACUGUUAAUAUCUCAAGCAACCAAGGCAAUUUGGAUGCAGAAGUAAAUUGAUUUUUAUAUUAUUGUUCCUUAUACUCAACGUUUUGUUCCUGUACCAUUAUUGUCUCGCAAAAUAUUUCCUCGAUUAAUUUACAAUAUGCAUUACAUACCAAAGCUUCUCGCAAUGCAAGGGUAGAGUGAUGAACUCUGGGGGCCAACGAAACUGCUGUAACUGGCCCGGGUUCAG